UCUCUUGAGAGCCAUAUGGAGGAGUUAACGGUGAUAGUUCCUCCGUAGGCUUUCAGGAAAUA
rnacentral:pre_miRNA from 1 species